rnacentral:rRNA from 1 species
UUACCUGGUCCGGACACGGAAAGGAUUAACAGAUUGAUAGCUCUUUCUAGAUUCUGUGGGUGGUGGUGCAUCGCCGUUCUUAGUUGGUGGAGCAAUUUGUCUGGUUAAUUCUGUUAACGAACGAGACCACAUUCUCCAUUUGACGAGCCGGAGAAGGCCGUGGUAAUGGAAAUUUUUGUUUACAAAAGUUUCUGCUAUCAUUGUUGAAGGCAUCGUAUAGUUGCCAAGGGUGUAUUGGUUGAGGUGGCAACAUCAAGGCUGAUGCAUUUGAGGUAAUCUGUGCGCUCCCUCCGGCUUAGCAGUGCAUGUCUUGCAAGAGUCGUGUAUUGUAUCAUGGAGAGACAACGGAAAAUAUUUUAAAAAUCCGAGGAAGUGUGGCUAUAACAGGUCUGUGAUGCCCUUAGAUGUUCAGGGCUGCACGCGCGCUACAAU